rnacentral:misc_RNA from 1 species
CUCUCUCUCUCUUUCUCUCUCUCUAUUACAGCUCUCGUUUCCUCUGCCAGCUGGAGCAGGAUCUGUAGUCGACGAAAGAUCUCUAGAUAUUGAAAUUUGAAUUCUGCGAUGCGGGAUCCGUGUUAGCAAUACCAUUCUUUGAUCUAUCGGUCGUUAAAUUAUCAUUUUUUAUUUCUUGUGAAACGAUUGCUUUCUUUUCUGUAAUCGAAUUCGAUCUUGAGAGCUGAACAUCGAUAUGUCGGGAACGUUGGAUCGCUUCGCGAGGCCUUGCUUUGAGGGCUUUUCCGGCCAUGAUGAAAGGAGAGAACGGAAAUCAGAUUUUGAAAACUCAGAGGAUGACAGGAAGACUAGAAUUGGAAAUCUAAAGAGGAAAGCAAUGAAGGCAUCUAAAAAGAUCAGGCGUUCUCUCCAUAAGAGGAAGAGUAAAAGUAGCGGGGAAGGGAUUACUGCCGCAAUUGAGGAUGUUCGGGAUGUUGAGGAACUGCGGGCUGUUGAUGAAUUCCGUCAGACAUUGAUCAUGGACGAAUUACUAC